GAUGAUAUACAAGUGUUCUUAUGG
rnacentral:siRNA from 1 species